rnacentral:rRNA from 386 species
UGGUCCCACCUGACCCCAUGCCGAACUCAGAAGUGAAACGCCGUAGCGCCGAUGGUAGUGUGGGGUCUCCCCAUGCGAGAGUAGGGAACUGCCAGACA